rnacentral:piRNA from 1 species
GAGAUGCCAGUUGUACAGGUCC